CAGUAGCCGCGGGAAUACAGAGGGUGCGAGCGUUAAUCGGAUUUACUGGGCGUAAAGCGUGCGUAGGCGGCUUUUUAAGUCAGAUGUGAAAUCCCUGAGCUUAACUUAGGAAUUGCAUUCGAUACUGGGAAGCUAGAGUAUGGGAGAGGAUGGUAGAAUUCCAGGUGUAGCGGUGAAAUGCGUAGAGAUCUGGAGGAAUACCGAUGGCGAAGGCAGCCAUCUGGCCUAAUACUGACGCUGAGGUACGAAAGCAUGGGGAGCAAACAGGAUUAGAUACCCCUGUAGUCCCUGUCUCUUAUAC
rnacentral:rRNA from 1 species